CUGCCCCUGGGAUGGGUUUCUUUCUGGAGAUUCCUCAUCUGUGGAAUCUUUCUUGCAAACCUAGAUCUUCAGAUGCAGUGGCAGCUGGUGCAAGGUCAGCACACCUGAACCCCACCCUACAGAGCUACCCGUUGAGAGAAGGAAAGUUCUGAUAUCUAUGCCUGCAGCAUCAUUGGGAUGAAAGAUGAAAGAAAAUUGUGUGGGCAGGCUGUAUUUGUGUUGCUGAGGGGAGGAGAGAACACAGGGACAACUCAGGACAAAAGGUAGCCUCCAAUCAGUGGCUAGUUACUUCUAUAGAAACUUCUUAGAUAGCAU